rnacentral:rRNA from 1 species
CCUACGGGGGGCAGCAGUAGGGAAUAUUGCUCAAUGGGGGAAACCCUGAAGCAGCAACGCCGCGUGGAGGAUGAAGGUUUUCGGAUUGUAAACUCCUUUUGUUAGAGAAGAUAAUGACGGUAUCUAACGAAUAAGCACCGGCUAACUCCGUGCCAGCAGCCGCGGUAAUACGGAGGGUGCACGCGUUACUCGGAAUCACUGGGCGUAAAGAGCGCGUAGGCGGGAUAGCAAGUCAGAUGUGAAAUCCUAUGGCUCAACCAUAGAACUGCAUUUGAAACUGUUAUUCUAGAGUGUGGGAGAGGUAGGUGGAAUUCUUGGUGUAGGGGUAAAAUCCGUAGAUAUCAAGAGGAAUACUCAUUGCGAAGGCGACCUGCUAGAACAUAACUGACGCUGAGGCGCGAAAGCGUGGGGAGCAAACAGGAUUAGAUACCCUUGUAGUC